AACGAACGCUGGCGGCAGGCCUAACACAUGCAAGUCGAGCGAAGCCUUCGGGCUUAGCGGCGGACGGGCGAGUAACGCGUGGGAACGUGCCCUUUGGUACGGAAUAGCCCCGGGAAACUGGGAGUAAUACCGUAUGUGGUCGAGAGACGAAAGAUUUAUCGCCAAAGGAUCGGCCCGCGUUGGAUUAGGUAGUUGGUGGGGUAAUGGCCUACCAAGCCGACGAUCCAUAGCUGGUUUGAGAGGAUGAUCAGCCACACUGAGACUGAGACACGGCCGUGACACCUACAGGAGGCAGAAGUAGGGAAUCUUAGACAAUGGGGAAACCCUGAUCUAGCCAUGCCCCGUGAUCGAUGAAGGCCUUGGGGUUGUAAAGAUCUUUGAGUGGGGAAGAUAAUGACUGUACCCACAGAAGAAGCCCCGGCUAACUCCGUGCCAGCCGCCGCGGUAAAAC
rnacentral:rRNA from 1 species